rnacentral:rRNA from 1 species
CCUACGGGAGGCAGCAGUGGGGAAUAUUGCACAAUGGGGGAAAGCCUGAUGCAGCAACGCCGCGUGAAGGAAGACGGUUUUCGGGUUGUAAACUUCUGUUCUUAGUGAAGAAUAAUGACGGUAGCUAAGCAGCAAGCCACGGCUAACUACGUGCCAGCAGCCGCGGUAAUACGUAGGUGGCAAGCGUUGUCCGGAAUUACGGGGUGUAAAGGGAGCGUAGGCGGGAAGACAAGUCAGCUGUGAAAACUACGGGCUUAACCUGUAGACUGCAGUUGAAACUGGUUGUCUUGAGUGAAGUAGAGGUUGGCGGAAUUCCGAGUGUAGCGGUGAAAUGCGUAGAUAUUCGGAGGAACACCGGUGGCGAAGGCGGUCAACUGGGCUGUAACUGACGCUGAGGCUCGAAAGUGUGGGGAGCAAACAGGAUUAGAUACCCGUGUAGUC